rnacentral:rRNA from 1 species
CCUACGGGUGGCAGCAGUGAGGAAUAUUGGUCAAUGGGCGCGAGCCUGAACCAGCCAAGUAGCGUGAAGGAUGAAGGCCCGACGGGUUGUAAACUUCUGUUAUAAAGGAAUAAAGUGAGGCACGUGUGCCUUUUUGUAUGUACUUUAUGAAUAAGGAACGGCUAACUCCGUGCCAGCAGCCGCGGUAAUACGGAGGAUCCGCGCGUUAUCCGGCUUUAUUGGGGUUAAAGGGAGCGUAGAUGGGUUGUUAAGGCCGUUGUGAACGUUUGCGGCUCAACCGUAAAAUGGCAAUUGAUACUGGCAGUCUUGCGUACAGUUGAGGUAGGCGGAAUUCGUGGUGUAGCGG